rnacentral:rRNA from 2 species
GGAUAGGUAGGAGCCUGAGAAGCCGGAGCGCUAGCUUCGGUGGAGGCGUCGGUGGGAUACUACCCUGGCUGUAUUGAAAUUCUAACCCGCGGCCCUKAUCGGGCCGGGAGACAGUGUCAGGUGGGCAGUUUGACUGGGGCGGUCGCCUCCUAAAAUGUAACGGAGGCGCCCAAAGGUUCCCUCAGAAUGGUUGGAAAUCAUUCGUAGAGUGUAAAGGCACAAGGGAGCUUGACUGCGAGACCUACAAGUCGAGCAGGGACGAAAGUCGGGCUUAGUGAUCCGGUGGUUCCGCAUGGAAGGGCCAUCGCUCAACGGAUAAAAGCUACCCCGGGGAUAACAGGCUUAUCUCCCCCAAGAGUCCACAUCGACGGGGAGGUUUGGCACCUCGAUGUCGGCUCAUCGCAUCCUGGGGCUGUAGUCGGUCCCAAGGGUUGGGCUGUUCGCCCAUUAAAGCGGUACGCGAGCUGGGUUCAGAACGUCGUGAGACAGUUCGGUCCCUAUCCGUCGUGGGCGUAGGAAAUUUGAGAGGAGCUGUCCUUAGUACGAGAGGACCGGGAUGGACACACCGCUGGUGUACCAGUUGUCUUGCCAAAGGCAUCGCUGGGUAGCUAUGUGUGGACGGGAUAAGUGCUGAAAGCAUCUAAGCAUGAAGCCCCCCUCAAGAUGAGAUUUCCCAUAGCGCAAGCUAGUAAGAUCCCUGAAAGAUGAUCAGGUUGAUAGGUCAGAGGUGGAAGCGUGGCGACAUGUGUAGCUGACUGAUACUAAUCGAUCGAGGACUUAACCAAA